rnacentral:lncRNA from 1 species
CUCGGCCCUGAGAGGAUAAGCUGUUUCUGUGAAGGGCAGGUUCAUCUGCUGCCAGCCCASAGUCAGGCCACCUUAAGCUCCUGCCCUGUCUGAGACUGUGGCUGACAUGUCUCCCCAGGUGAAUAUAAAAAUACCCAAGGGACGGASCUUCAGCAGCGGUUGCUUUUCAUCCUUGAAGUUCACGGGCUGAAACAAGUUAGUAGCCUUUGCAGCCUCUCACGAACCGCCUGGAGAGGAAAGAGAACGCGGGUGUCUUAUCUUCCAUUGAGCUGCAUCUGAUGAAGGUUGCUGACAGCAUAAUGGCUGGGAAAACGUCGGACAGCUCCAUAAAAUGGCAGCUAUGUUAUGAUAUGUCAGCCAGGACCUGGUGGAUGAGUACAAUUUUUACAAGUGAUAUAAACUGUGCACUGACAGGUUUUCUGUAUGGUUGCCAUCUCUCUCAUUGGACAUUGGUAUUGUAAAUAUACAUGGGUGCAACUGACUCUUAAAACAAAUCRCAGAUAUUUGGGGAAAGACGUUGCAAAAUGUUUGUGUAUAAGAUUUGCCUUGUGGACUWUACCAAGUUUUGAAAGUGU